ACAGGUACUGAGCGUCCAUUGCAGACAUACAGAAGGUUUCCUAUCUAAGUGACCUUUCAGUACCUGGGUUUCCGAAUUUUUGUACAAGUUAUCUCACCAUAAGGAGUUUCCAUCAUGCACGUAUGAACAAGUUUUUUCGUAUUAUACUUUUUGUAUAAACAACUAUACGUCCCAGUCGCUUGAGGUA